rnacentral:rRNA from 1 species
CAGCCGCCGCGGGAAUACGAAGGGGGCUAGCGUUGUUCGGAAUUACUGGGCGUAAAGCGCACGUAGGCGGAUAUUUAAGUCAGGGGUGAAAUCCCAGAGCUCAACUCUGGAACUGCCUUUGAUACUGGGUAUCUUGAGUAUGGAAGAGGUGAGUGGAAUUCCGAGUGUAGAGGUGAAAUUCGUAGAUAUUCGGAGGAACACCAGUGGCGAAGGCGGCUCACUGGUCCAUUACUGACGCUGAGGUGCGAAAGCGUGGGGAGCAAACAGGAUUAGAUACCCGGGUAGUCCCUGUCUCUUAUAC